rnacentral:rRNA from 1 species
CGAUGCAACGCGAAGAACCUUACCAGGGUUUGACAUACAAGUGGUAGAGAAGCGAAAGCAGAUCGACCCUUCGGGGAGCUUGAACAGGUGCUGCAUGGCUGUCGUCAGCUCGUGUCGUGAGAUGUUCGGUUAAGUCCGCUAACGAGCGCAACCCUCGCUGUGUGUUACAAGUGUCACACGGAACUGCCGGUCAUAAACCGGAGGAAGGUGGGGAUGACGUCAAGUCAGCAUGGCCUUUAUAUCCUGGGCUACACACACGCUACAAUGGGAAGGGACAAUAGGUUGCGAAGCCGCGAGGCGGAGCCAAUCCAGCAAAACUUCCCUCAGUUCAGAUUGCAGGCUGCAACUCGCCUGCAUGAAGUUGGAGUUGCUAGUAAACGCAGGUCAGCCAUACUGCGUUGAAUACGUUCCCGGGGCUUGUACACACCGCCCGUCACGUCAUGGGAGCUGGUAACACCUGAAGCCGGUAGCCUAACCCGUAAGGGAGGGCGCUGUCGAAGGUGGUGCUGGUG